GGUCUUUUAUAAGAAGCAUAAAAACUGGUCACAGCUGUUUUAGGGGAUUCCCACACUCUUUGGAAAGAGUUCUUUUACCUUUCCACCUCUAAAAACCUUCAGCUCCUGAGACAGGCAGCUCACAUCUUGACAUUUUUGUGCCUUAAAUCUUCUCUGUGUGUCAAAGCCUCUUCCUAGAUUCUGAACCCACUUUCAGAGAAUGUUUUGUGUCAAAUUCACACACAGUCUACACUGAGAGAAGCACUUGUACUAAGCUUAUUAUGAAACAGAGGGUCUGCCCGGUGAGGCAACCUGUCAGUACAUCUUUUGUGUUGAACACAGCAACGUACCCGCACACUCACAAUCGGGGUACCCUGGGAACAGAACCCAUCUACCUUUGCACUGGUGCCACCUGGCUGGCAGAGGACCAUGAAGUGUUUCAUGGUAUUCUCUGCAUCUGCUUCAGGCUGAAUUCCUCUUUCUUGAACCAGACUAAAAGGAUUUCAAAGGUACCAUCAGAUAGACAAGUGUGUUCUGUGGUGGAAAGCUCUCUAGUUCACUGUGAUCUAGCUCAGCUCAGUCUGGGCUCCAAUUCCAGUUAUCCAGAUAUUACCAUCAAGUCUGAAAAGGUUUUGGACCUAUGUGUCAAAUGGCUCAUUCCCCAAAAGCAAUGGAACGUGCUGGAACAGUGACGGGAAGAGAAGCCCCAGAAACCCGAACAGAGGAAAUGAAGCGCCCGGAUCUGGCUCAUUCCAGGACAGUCUCAAAGCAUCAGCCGGAUUUUCCAGACAUGCCACCAAUCAGUGGGUCAAUAGGAGAUGCUUCCUCCAUCACCUUUAUACACUGAAGGGGGUUGCUCCCUGCAAGGGUCUGGGAGACACUGUGAGGCGCAAGGGAAAAUUAUCUUGGAUUUUUACAAACUUCUGUAUGAGGGAUACUUAGGGAAUAAGAGAAUGUGGGGGAAAAAAUGAUCAAAGUGUUUUGGGGAGGUAUCAGAAUGGUACAACGGAAUGAAUAAGGAAAUAAAUGUGUAGAUAACGUGCA
rnacentral:lncRNA from 1 species